GAUGAAGAACGUAGCGAAAUGCGAUAAGUAAUGUGAAUUGCAGAAUUCAGUGAAUCAUCGAAUCUUUGAACGCCCAUUGCGCCCGCCAGUAUUCUGGCGGGCAUGCCUGUCCGAGCGUCAUUUCAACCCUCAAGCCCCCGGGCUUGGUGUUGGAGAUCGGCGAGCCCCCCGGGGCGCGCCGUCUCCCAAAUAUAGUGGCGGUCCCGCUGUAGCUUCCUCUGCGUAGUAGCACACCUCGCGCUGGGAAACAGCGUGGCCACGCCGUAAAACCCCCCACUUCUGAAAGGUUGACCUCGGAUCAGGUAGGAAUACCCGCUGAACUUAAGCAUAUCAAUAAGCGGAGGA
rnacentral:misc_RNA from 1 species